UCUCAUAAGUGAAUGAGAAAUUUGAAAGCUCAAAUGGAAGACCAACAACUGCCAACACUUAUUACCAAAGUAAAUGUCCUCCCUUGGUAAAAGCAACGUACAGGAAAAAAACACAGUUUACGAAGCCUUUAACUUAAUUAUAAAAAAAAAAAACUCGGCAAGGAAAACGCGAAUAUUUCAUUCUUUCCUCCUACUUACAACUUCACUCUCUCUCUACAUUUUCACUUCUUCCUUUUCUGUUUCAGUACCAACAACACUAUCGAUUUAACCACGACGGUAAGAAACCUAGACGGCACUCCUAUGUAACAAUGGCGGCACCAUCGUGAGUGCCCAUAACUUAGAGAAAGAAAACCUAAACUUACCCAAACAAAUACUCCGAAAAACAGAUCUAACCACGUAGUUUCUGAAUCAAGAACACGAAUCCAAAGAAAACGAAGCAACAACCAAACAACACAACAGCAGGAAUCUCAUGUAAUAAUCAUGGGGGUUAUGGCAUUUGAGGAGAUGUGAACAAGAUGGUAAUAUCAAAUCAUGCAAAGGAGAAAUAUUAAAUACCAAAUCGGAGCUAGUCCGACGUUUCAACUCCGGCAAGGUGAGGGGGCUUAGCUCGAGCUUGUUGAGCUUCGGUGUGAGAAUCUCAACAAGUUCAAAACAGAGCUUUUUUAACUAGGGUUUUGGAAUGAUUUCUCCAGAGUAACGGCGCAGAAAAUCGGAUCCCUACUUCAUCCCUGGAGGUCCUUAUUUAUAGCAUUUUUGAUGUACGAGGUUUUGAAUUCCUCUCUCAUGAGCUUGGCAAGUUAGUGGGAGAAUCAUUCCGUUAGGUAGCAGAAUUUCUCAGAGUUAGUGGUGCUUCAAAUCGGUGUGGUCCCUCAAAUGGCAGGAUGAGGUUUUGUCUGUAGUGAAUCCGUGGUUUAUGUUGUGAUAGAUGCAUGUUUACAAGGUUUGGAAGAUUGACGAGUAUGUUUCAUCGUGACAGGUUUUGUCAUGCCAUCCUCUUUGAUAAAUGAUGCUUAAUGGUUGGAUGUUACUACUGCCUUGUGAUGCAUUACAGGUUUUGUUUUUGAGACGAACUAGCUUAUGGUGACAUGACUAGUUAUGGACCAAGGUCUUUUCUUCAUGUGUCAUGAUGUUGUAACACGUCGGUACCUGUUUUAAACCUUGCGUAAUUAGUGCUUCUGCAGGUUGUGCUCUACUGAUAUAAUGAUGACAUUUGGUUACGCGACCGUUUGAGUUCGAUCUGGUAUGCGACUUAACGCAGGUUUUGCUGUGACCACUGAUGUGUUGCAGGAUGCUGAUUAACUCAUUCCUGUUGGUUGCAGUUUUUGACUGCUUGCGCAGAAAAUGUAUCUGUCCAAAAGUAGACUGUCACGCUGGAUUGUAAUCAUUGCAGGAUGCGUCACAUUUGGUUGGUAAUUCGGAUGGAAGCAAGGCAGUGCAUACUGAUUGACUGAUCAAGGUGAACUGUUACCUUUGUGUUGCAGGUCAUGGCGUGCUUGCUAAAGGGUAGCAUGCGGCUAUUAUGCUGUUAGCUUUGGUUCUGCAGCCAAGAUUUCUUGCUGUUUAAAGGGAUAGUUUGAUGACCGUUGAUGUUAGCUAGUGAUGUGGUUCUGCAACAGCUUUGGUUGGCAGCGGUAUUGAUGACACAGGUGGUGCAAGUGAGAAAACUUGACAAGGCUAGUAGCUAUGUUGGACCUUAAAAAUAAAUAACAGAGAUCCUUCUCGUCAACUGAAGGAAUUCCAAUUUCGUUCCUCUUCUUCUGCAUUACAUUGAACGGCAUCCUUCUUUGUAUGCUUUCUUUUUUGUGAAAUCACGACGCUUGUGCCGUGCCUUGAGUAUUUAGCGUUUAGCUACUACUAGAAAACAGAAGACCGAAUUAACUACACUCUUAAUUUGUCUGGUAAUUCUAGCGCUGAUUUUUCUUUUCGACAUUACUUCUGUUUCGUUUUGUAUGCGAGAUGAAAUAAUCUUGGAAUGUCUGUGAGUUGUCAGUGGGGUGGAGUCUCAGAGAUAAUGGUUUCUGCCAGAUGCUUUCAUUCCUAUUUCCUUCUUAUUGUGAGGUCGCUGAUAUAAUUAUGAACUCUGACAUCUGCAAUACUAAUGCUUUCAUCCAUCUCAGGACCACCAGCUGUUAUGGGAAGUGAAUGCAUUGGUGCAUCAAAUGGUGCUGCAUCGGUUAUUCUUUGGUGAUCCUGAACAAUCAGAGCUGCACGAUAAGCGUGACCUCCUGCAAUAACAUCAAAAGUUUCGGCAUCAACCGCAUCCCCGUUUGACCUCCCUUCUUGGACCGUAGAAAUCUUUGAAAGCUUGCAGCAUGUUUGCAAGCAAUGGUAGAAAUACAUAGGCAGUCCUCUGGUUGACUUCGCACGGCUGCCGUAGGCUGAUGCAUAAUUUUUGUCUUUUAAUUUUUGUUUUCUUUCUUUAGAAAUUUAAUCCUUUCAUUUGGCUCUGUGGUUAUAGGUACAGUGAAUUCUAUGUAAAUGAUGAAAUAUGUUAUGCUUCUCAUAAUGGAAUUGGAACAAAUGCGGUUAUUAUUCAUAGUUUA